rnacentral:rRNA from 1 species
AUUGAACGCUGGCGGCAGGCCUAAACCAUGCAAGUCGAACGAGUGGCGGAAGGGUGAGUAAUGUCUGGGAAACUGCCCGCUGGAGGGGGAUAACUACUGGAAACGGUAGCGAAUACCGCCUACCAUCGGAUGUGCCGAGAUGGGAUUAGCUUGUAGGUGAGGUAACGGCUCAACUAGGCGACGAGCCCUAGCUGGUCUGAGAGGAUGACCAGCUACACUGGAACUGAGACACGGUCCAGACGCCUAAGGGAGGCAGCAGUGGGGAAUAUUGCACAAUGGGCGCAAGCCUGAUGCAGCCAUGCCGCGUGUAUGAAGAAGGCCUUCGGGUUGUAAAGUACUUUCAGCGGGGAGGCGUUACCCGCAGAAGAAGCACCGGCUAACUCCGUGCCAGCAGCCGCGGUAAUAC